AUUGAACGCUGGCGGCAUGCCUUACACAUGCAAGUCGAACGGCAGCACGGGAGCAAUCCUGGUGGCGAGUGGCGAAUGGGUGAGUAAUAUAUCGGAACGUGCCCAGUCGUGGGGGAUAACGUAGCGAAAGCUACGCUAAUACCGCAUACGAUCUAUGGAUGAAAGCGGGGGAUCGCAAGACCUCGCGCGAUUGGAGCGGCCGAUAUCAGAUUAGGUAGUUGGUGAGGUAAAGGCUCGCCAAGCCGACGAUCUGUAGCUGGUCUGAGAGGACGACCAGCCACACUGGGACUGAGACACGGCCCAGACUCCUACGGGAGGCAGCAGUGGGGAAUUUUGGACAAUGGGCGCAAGCCUGAUCCAGCAAUGCCGCGUGCAGGAUGAAGGCCUUCGGGUUGUAAACUGCUUUUGUACGGAACGAAACGGCGAGCUCUAAUACAGUUUGCUAAUGACGGUACCGUAAGAAUAAGCACCGGCUAACUACGUGCCAGCCGCCGCGGUAA
rnacentral:rRNA from 1 species